rnacentral:rRNA from 1 species
CGUCUCAGUUCGGAUUGGAGUCUGCAACUCGACUCCAUGAAGCUGGAUUCGCUAGUAAUCGCGCAUCAGCCAUGGCGCGGUGAAUACGUUCCCGGGCCUUGUACACACCGCCCGUCAAGCCAUGGGAGUCGGGAGUGCCUGAAGUUCGUGACCGUAUAGGAGCGACCUAGGGCAAGACUGAUGACUGGGGCUAAGUCGUAACAAGGUAGC